rnacentral:misc_RNA from 1 species
UUGUGGAGGAGGACGCCGAAGGUGGGGCUAAUGACUGGGGUGAAGUCGUAACAAGGUAGCCGUACCGGAAGGUGCGGCUGGAUCACCUCCUAACAGGGAGACAACAAAAUGUUAAAUAUUAAUUUUGUCACCUUAGGUCGAUCGGUACCUCAGAUUCUUAAUUUCUUUAAGAAUUUCAAUUCCUAAGUUUUUUCUAGGUCACACCCAUUAUUUUCCCUGGGCCAUUAGCUCAGGUGGUUAGAGCGCACCCCUGAUAAGGGUGAGGUCCCUGGUUCAAGUCCAGGAUGGCCCAUAUCUCUAUGUUGGGGGUAUAGCUCAGUUGGUAGAGCGCCUGCUUUGCAAGCAGGAUGUCAGCGGUUCGAGUCCGCUUACCUCCACUGAUCACCACCUCUUCCAUAGUUCAUAUUAGGGAAAUUAGUGUGAUGAUCUCUUAUCCUGAACGAAUCUAGCUUCCUAAUUAUUAUUUAUUAAGAUGCUGGACUCAUUGAAUUCUUUCAUUGUUUUCAGAGAACCUUGACAACUGCAUAGAUUAUUUUAAAGACAAUUAAGCAUCUAGAUAGAUGCAGAUUUAUUAUUUUUGCAAAUGCAUUAAUAACAAUUCUAUUGAGCUGAUGCUUCAAUUUUGAAGUUAUUGGUCAAGCUACAA